CUUAGCUUGCUAAGUUUGAUGGCGACCGGCGCACGGGUGAGUAACACGUAUCCAACCUGCCGAUGACUCGGGGAUAGCCUUUCGAAAGAAAGAUUAAUACCCGAUGGCAUAGUUCUUCCGCAUGGUGGAACUAUUAAAGAAUUUCGGUCAUCGAUGGGGAUGCGUUCCAUUAGGUUGUUGGCGGGGUAACGGCCCACCAAGCCUUCGAUGGAUAGGGGUUCUGAGAGGAAGGUCCCCCACAUUGGAACUGAGACACGGUCCAAACUCCUACGGGAGGCAGG
rnacentral:rRNA from 1 species